GCAUGGCACCCCGGCUAAAGCCCCGACGGGAGGGGAUGGCUCCGCGGCCCAUCAGGUAGACGGCGGGGUGACGGCCCACCGUGCCGACAACGGGUAGCCGGGUUGAGAGACCGACCGGCCAGAUUGGGACUGAGACACGGCCCAGACUCCUACGGGAGGCAGCAGUGGGGAAUCUUGCGCAAUGGGGGGAACCCUGACGCAGCGACGCCGCGUGCGGGACGGAGGCCUUCGGGUCGUAAACCGCUUUCAGCAGGGAAGAGUCAAGACUGUACCUGCAGAAGAAGCCCCGGCUAACUACGUGCCAGCAGCCGCGGUAAUACGUAGGGGGCGAGCGUUAUCCGGAUUCAUUGGGCGUAAAGCGCGCGUAGGCGGCCCGGCAGGCCGGGGGUCGAAGCGGGGGGCUCAACCCCCCGAAGCCCCCGGAACCUCCGCGGCUUGGGUCCGGUAGGGGAGGGUGGAACACCCGGUGUAGCGGUGGAAUGCGCAGAUAUCGGGUGGAACACCGGUGGCGAAGGCGGCCCUCUGGGCCGAGACCGACGCUGAGGCGCGAAAGCUGGGGGAGCGAACAGGAUUAGAUACCCUGGUAGUCCCAGCCGUAAACGAUGGACGCUAGGUGUGGGGGGACGAUCCCCCCGUG
rnacentral:rRNA from 1 species